GGCCUAACACAUGCAAGCCGAGCGGUAAGAGUAUUCGUUCGGAAUCUGAGAGCGGCGUACGGGUGCGGAACACGUGUGCAACCUACCUUUAUCUGGAGGAUAGCCUUUCGAAAGGAAGAUUAAUACUCCAUAAUAUAUUGAUUGGCAUCAAUUGAUAUUGAAAGCUCCGGCGGAUAGAGAUGGGCACGCGCAAGAUUAGUUAGUUGGUGAGGUAACGGCUCACCAAGACGAUGAUCUUUAGGGGGCCUGAGAGGGUGAUCCCCCACACUGGUACUGAGACACGGACCAGACUCCUACGGGAGGCAGCAGUGAGGAAUAUUGGUCAAUGGGUGCAAGCCUGAACCAGCCAUCCCGCGUGAAGGACGACUGCCCUAUGGGUUGUAAACUUCUUUUGUAUAGGGAUAAACCUACCCUCGUGAGGGUAGCUGAAGGUACUAUACGAAUAAGCACCGGCUAACUCCGUG
rnacentral:rRNA from 1 species